GGGCCCGCACAAGCGGUGGAGUAUGUGGUUUAAUUCGAUGCAACGCGAAGAACCUUACCAGGGUUUGACAUCCUGCGAAUCUCUUGGAAACAGGAGAGUGCCCUUCGGGAACGCAGUGACAGGUGGUGCAUGGCUGUCGUCAGCUCGUGUCGUGAGAUGUUGGGUUAAGUCCCGCAACGAGCGCAACCCACGUCUUUAGUUGCCAGCAUCAGUUGGGCACUCUAGAGAGACUGCCGGUGAUAAACCGGAGAAGGUGUGGAUGACGUCAAGUCAUCAUGCCCCUUACAUCUGGGCUACACACGUACUACAAUGCUACGGACAAAGAGCAGCAAAGUUUCGCGAGGGACAAGCAAAAUCUCAUAAACCGUGGCUC
rnacentral:rRNA from 1 species